rnacentral:rRNA from 1 species
AACGAACGCUGGCGGCAUGCCUAACACAUGCAAGUCGAACGAACCCUCCGGGGUUAGUGGCGCACGGGUGCGUAACGCGUGGGAAUCUGCCCUUGGCUUCGGAAUAACAGUUAGAAAUGACUGCUAAUACCGGAUGAUGUCUUCGGACCAAAGAUUUAUCGGCCAGGGAUGAGCCCGCGUAGGAUUAGGUAGUUGGUGGGGUAAAGGCCUACCAAGCCGACGAUCCUUAGCUGGUCUGAGAGGAUGAUCAGCCACACUGGGACUGAGACACGGCCCAGACUCCUACGGGAGGCAGCAGUGGGGAAUAUUGGACAAUGGGCGCAAGCCUGGUCCAGCAAUGCCGCGUGAGUGAUGAAGGCCUUAGGGUCGUAAAGCUCUUUUACCCGGGAUGAUAAUGACAGUACCGGGAGAAUAAGCUCCGGCUAACUCCGUGCCAGCAGCCGCGGUAA